AUAUAUAUAUAAUUUGGAAAACGACAUGAAUUUUCUUUUAUUUACUUUAUACAGGUGUUCUCCAGUUUUUGAAAAGAACAGAAAAGGUGGAAGUACCUCAAGCGACAUUAAUAAUUCCAGAAAAAUCAGAGAAUAUCGAAAAGACCUCACUGAAAAGAAAGAUUGAUACUGCACAUUUUGUUCACGAGAAUAAAGAGAAUAAAACA